rnacentral:rRNA from 1 species
UACGUAGGGGGCAAGCGUUGUCCGGAAUCAUUGGGCGUAAAGCGCGUGUAGGCGGCUCGAUAAGUCUGCUGUGAAAGUCCAGGGUUCAACCCUGGGAUGCCGGUGGAUACUGUCGAGCUCGAGUCCGGAAGAGGCGAGUGGAAUUCCGGGUGUAGUGGUGAAAUGCGUAGAGAUCCGGAGGAACACCAGUGGCGAAGGCGACACGCUGGGCCGUACCUGACACUGAUGCGCGACAGCAUGGGGAGCAAACAGG